rnacentral:rRNA from 1 species
UACGAAGGGGGCAAGCGUUGUUCGGAAUUACUGGGCGUAAAGGGCGCGUAGGCGGCUUAUCAAGUCAGGCGUGAAAUUCCCGGGCUCAACCUGGGGGCUGCGCUUGAUACUGAUGAGCUUGAAUGCGGGAGAGGAUAGUGGAAUUCCCAGUGUAGAGGUGAAAUUCGUAGAUAUUGGGAAGAACACCGGUGGCGAAGGCGGCUAUCUGGCCCGUAAUUGACGCUGAGGCGCGAAAAGCGUGGGGGAGCAAACAGGAUUAGAAAACCC